CGAACGCUGGCGGCAGGCUUAACACAUGCAAGUCGAGCGGGCGUAGCAAUACGUCAGCGGCAGACGGGUGAGUAACGCGUGGGAACAUACCUCUUGGUUCGGAACAACACAGGGAAACUUGUGCUAAUACCGGAUAAGCCCUUACGGGGAAAGAUUUAUCGCCGAGAGAUUGGCCCGCGUCUGAUUAGCUAGUUGGUAGGGUAAUGGCCUACCAAGGCGACGAUCAGUAGCUGGUCUGAGAGGAUGAUCAGCCACAUUGGGACUGAGACACGGCCCAAACUCCUACGGGAGGCAGCAGUGGGGAAUAUUGGACAAUGGGGGCAACCCUGAUCCAGCCAUGCCGCGUGAGUGAUGAAGGCCCUAGGGUUGUAAAGCUCUUUUGUGCGGGAAGAUAAUGCCGGU
rnacentral:rRNA from 1 species